GAAGGUCAUGAUGUCAAUGGAAAAACCCCCAUAUACCAUGCGAGUUCCUAGAAAAUCGGAGCCUGAAUAUUACUUGGAGCAAGUUUUGCCCAUACUCUUAAGAAGAAAGGUUCUUCAGUUGACAAAGUUUGACUAUCGACUUGCUAGUGACCUUGAUGAAGAGCUACAAAAAUUGCGUUGCCGUGUGAAUUAUCAUGCUUUAAGAUUUACUAAGCCCAUAAGGAAUUUUGGUCAGAAACUUGUAGUGCGCAUGCGAAAAAUGGCAAGACGUUUCGUUGCAGUUCAUUUGAGGUUUG
rnacentral:misc_RNA from 1 species